rnacentral:rRNA from 1 species
AUUGAACGCUGGCGGCAUGCUUUACACAUGCAAGUCGAACGGUAACAGGUCUUCGGAUGCUGACGAGUGGCGAACGGGUGAGUAAUGUAUCGGAACGUGCCCAGUAGUGGGGGAUAACUACUCGAAAGAGUAGCUAAUACCGCAUGAGAACUGAGGUUGAGAGCGGGGGACCUUCGGGCCUCGCGCUACUGGAGCGGCCGAUAUCAGAUUAGGUAGUUGGUGGGGUAAAGGCCUACCAAGCCGACGAUCCGUAGCUGGUCUGAGAGGACGACCAGCCACACUGGGACUGAGACACGGCCCAGACUCCUACGGGAGGCAGCAGUGGGGAAUUUUGGACAAUGGGCGCAAGCCUGAUCCAGCAAUGCCGCGUGCAGGACGAAGGCCUUCGGGUUGUAAACUGCUUUGUACAGAACGAAAGGGCUCUGGAUAAUACCUGGGGCAGAUGACGGUACUGUAAGAAUAAGCACCGGCUAACUACGU